rnacentral:rRNA from 1 species
CUAAGAAUAUUCCGCAAUGGACGAAAGUCUGACGGAGCGACGCCGCGUGGAUGAUGAAGGCCGAAAGGUUGUAAAGUCCUUUUGCUGGGGAAGAAUAAGCGUGGGAGGGAAUGCCCGCGUGAUGACAUGAACCGGCGAAUAAGCCCCGGCUAACUACGUGCCAGCAGCCGCGGGAAAACGGAGGGGGCAAGCGUUGUUCGGAAUUACUGGGCGUAAAGGGCAUGUAGGCGGCCUUGUAAGCUUGGCGUGAAAGUCCACGGCUUAACCGGGGGAUUGCGUUUAGAACUGCGAGGCUUGAGUGACGGAGAGGGAGCUAGAAUUCCUGGUGGAGGGGUGGAAUCUGUAGAGAUCAGGAAGAAUACCAAUGGCGAAGGCAAGCUCCUGGCCGAUGACUGACGCUGAGGUGCGAAAGUGUGGGGAUCAAACA